CGCUGGCGGCGUGCUUAACACAUGCAAGUCGAACGAUGUAGCCCAGCUUGCUGGGUGGAAGAGUGGCGAACGGGUGAGUAACACGUGAGUAACCUGCCCAUCACUCUGGGAUAAGCGCUGGAAACGGCGUCUAAUACUGGAUAUGAACAGCGGCCGCAUGGUCAGUUGUUGGAAAGAUUUAUUGGUGAUGGAUGGACUCGCGGCCUAUCAGCUAGUUGGUGAGGUAAUGGCUCACCAAGGCGACGACGGGUAGCCGGCCUGAGAGGGUGACCGGCCACACUGGGACCGAGACACGGCCCAGACUCCUACGGGAGGCAGCAUGGGGAAUAUUGCACAAUGGGCGCAAGCCUGAUGCAGCAACGCCGCGUGAGGGAUGACGGACUUCGGGUUGUAAACCUCUUUUAGUAGGGAAGAAGCGCAAGUGACGGUACCUGCAGAAAAGCACCGGCUAACUACGUG
rnacentral:rRNA from 1 species